GGUUUGCUAGCGAGGUGAAAAUGAUUAAGUGUUGGUAAAAUCAAGCUCUUUAGAAUAGUUAUUCUUCCUAGAGGUGUAAGGUCUCUCAGAGUCCACAUUUUCAUUACUUUGUCAAUUGUUUUUAUUUUAUCUUUAGAAUUCUUUUUCACCAUUUCUGCUUUAUUAUGUUGAAAUAGAAUGCCUAAGAGUACAAAUGGCUUUUGAGUCCAGUCAAGGUUGUAUUCUCCGCAGUAUUGCAAACUUGAAUAUUGUUUCGAAUAGUCCAGAGAUC